AUGAAUAUCGCCCUCCUCUCUCGCUGGCUUUGGCGAAUCUCGCAAGGGCAUGGUGGACUUUGGCUUGACAUCAUCGGGAACAAAUACUUGCGCGGACAGCCCCUCGCCUUUUGCCAAAAGUCUGGAGGCUCUCAGUUCUGGCAGUCGAUUGUCCUGCUUCUUCCGGUUCUCCGUAUCGGGACCUCCAUCUUGGUGGGCUCUGGUGCAUCGACACUGUUCUGGUUUAAUCGUUGGGCCGGGGACACCCCCUUCGUGGCUCGCUUCCCUGGCCUCUUCUCCAUCUCCGUCGACCUUGUGAUUUCUGUUGAUAGGGCCCUUCUUGACUUAGGGCGCCUUGCUUUCCGGCGGGCCUUUGGCCCAUGGAAUCCGCCGCCUGGCGUGAGUUGCUUGACUGUGUUGCUCUUCACGAGUCAUUGGUGGAUGAUGGCCCCUACCUGGUGCGUUGGCGCCUUGAGCCUUCGGGCCAAUUCUCCACCAAGUCGCUGUACGCGGCCAUAG
rnacentral:rRNA from 1 species